rnacentral:rRNA from 1 species
AUUGAACGCUGGCGGCAGGCUUAACACAUGCAAGUCGAACGAGUGGCGGACGGGUGAGUAAUGCUUGGGAAUCUGGCUUAUGGAGGGGGAUAACGACGGGAAACUGUAGCUAAUACCGCGUACCAUAGGAUGAGCCCAUGUGGGAUUAGGUAGUUGGUGAGGUAACAGCUCACCAAGCCGACGAUCUCUAGCUGGUCUGAGAGGAUGACCAGCCACACGGGGACGUAGACCAGGCCCAGACGCGUACGGGAGGCAGCAGUGGGGAUGAUUGCGCAAUGGGGGCAACCUGACGCAGCCAUGCCGCGUGAAUGAAGAAGGCCUUCGGGUUGUAAAGUUCUGUCGGUAGCGAGGCGUUAACUACAGAAGAAGCACCGGCUAACUCCGUGCCAGCCGCCGCGGUAAUUC